AGAACGAACGCUGGCGGCAUGCCUAACACAUGCAAGUCGGACGCUUUCGGGGGUUUCGGCCUCCGAGGGAGUGGCGGACGGGUGAGUAGCGCGUGGGAACCUGCCCCUUUGUGGGGGAUAACCGAGGGAAACUUCGGCUAAUACCGCAUGCGCCCGGGGGUAACUCCGGGGAAAGAUUUAUCGCAGAGGGAGGGGCCCGCGUCGGAUUAGGUAGUUGGUGGGGUAACGGCCUACCAAGCCGGUGAUCCGUAGCUGGUCUGAGAGGAUGAUCAGCCACACUGGGACUGAGACACGGCCCAGACUCCUACGGGAGGCAGCAGUGGGGAAUAUUGGACAAUGGGCGCAAGCCUGAUCCAGCAAUGCCGCGUGAGUGAUGAAGGCCUUAGGGUUGUAAAGCUCUUUCGGCGGGGACGAUGAUGACGGUACCCGCAGAAGAGCCCCGGCUAACUUCGCGCCAGCAGCCGC
rnacentral:rRNA from 1 species